AAUUUUUUCCUGUUUCUGGAAACUGUGAAUUCCGCCACCGCCAAGCUUAUGAGAUAACAGAUACGUGGCUUCUUCCUCUUUCUUUUUUCUGCAUCUCCUUGCUUACUCACCCUCAGUUGUAUCUCUUUCCACCGCCAUUGUUUCGUAGACCUUCCACCGCUUCUUUUUCCUUCUGCAUACCUUCAAUGCGAUUCUUACCCUUCUCCUUCCAAUUCUAUAAAUCAUUCAUCAAUCUGCUCCACCGCCUGGCUACAUAACCAAUUGUUUUGGGCCAACCCGCUAUUAUAUGCCCAUUUUUUCUGUAUCUAACCUAAUCGGAAACUUGGCUACCCUUAGAUAUAUUACAUUUUUUCCUGUAUCUAACCCAAUCGGAAACUAAAGACAAAAUGGAUUUGCCUACAAAUGGUAUAACCUCAACUGAAAAACCACAAGUUGCAAAACAUCUUCAAUCGCUGUCAGUUUCGCCAUCACAAUCACUCUACGCAUCAAUUUAUGUGGUGCUUCAGAAAAGGGGUUAGACCAAAUAACCUAUUUGCUUUGAAGGUUGGAGUAGCGGUGGAGAACAUCAAGUCUGCUAUCACAAAGGGAGUAGUAGAAGCAGCCGGCAUGUUCGUUCCCAAGUCACUGCCUCCAGUUUCCUUUAUCUACAUUAUCUCUCUUGCCAAAUAAUCCGACCCAUUUGUUUCAACUGAGGAAACCACCGCACACCGUCAUUGUUACCGUCUAUUUCCGCCUCUCAACAAUAUAAAUACUAGAGUUGAAGAACAAAUUUAUCAUGCUUUCCUGAUGACGACGUAUGCUGUUCGAUUCCCCUUUACUGAUUUGAGACUGAGAGCGACUGAUGUUGAAAACGAGAUGUUCAUUGAUCAAGGGUUUUGUUUAUGGGAUUUUCAAAUUGAAAUCUAAAGUUCAGCCGUUUGAUCAUAUCUUCUCUGCAGUGCUGCUAUUGAUUUUUCCCGCAUCCAAGGUUAUUGUUGCAGUCUCCACACAGUCCUCUCUCAGUCAUCGCAAGCUUCCAAUCGGUUAUAACGCCUUUCCUCUACCAACUUUGUCCUAUUUUGUGUACUUCAAACAUUUGAGUAUGCGUUGGACAAGUUUUGAACUGUUUCAAGAUUAAUGUAGAUCUUGAAUAUUCUUGCUUGGAUUUUAGAUCCUAGCAGACAAAUGAAAUCAAAGGUUAGCAUUUUUUAUUAAUAAAAAAGCGUAAAAUGCAACAAAUAGCAACUUAGUUUCACUAAUUGUUUAUUAUAACAUCCUACUUCCAUAUCUAUAAUUGGUUGGAAUUUUCAUAGCAUACCGCCUAAUAAAGAAAAAGGCUGAAAGCAUAAUGGUGUAAAAAACGGGAUGCUUACAAAUAAAUGAAAGUAUGUUGCUAUUUCAAUCAUGUGUUAACCUUUUCAUUUACUACUUAAUUUCUUGAACGUACUUUGGUUAUUCGGUUACAAACAGUUUUAUGAUGCACCGGUUAAUGGAUGUAAGAAAGGAUAGAAUGAAACAACGAUGCCAACCAGUUCCAUUAUUUGGAUUACUUAUUUGAUAAAACUUUAUGAUGCACCAGUUAAUGUUUUGAAUAUUGCAAUGGUCCAUGCCACCUCGCCGACUCCUUCACCCAAUCACUUCCUUUUCAUCGAAGAUUUCGUUUGUUGACUCUCUCAGCGGUUUCCCGUUUCCAUUCCUGGCUUCCUCUUCUCACCUCUCUGUUAGGUUACAUUUCCAUUUCAUUGGUCUAAUGUUGAGAUGGAGAACAGAUAUUGAACAGGAUUAGAGAAGAAGUUAUGAAGGCAGCAGAUGAGUACAAUGGAUUCAGUUUGGUAAUUUCUUUUGACUUCGAUCGACUCUUUUUUUCUUUCUACCAACUCCAUCCGCUUUUUCUACUUUGUUUCCGAAAUUGGAACGUGCUCUUCUUAUUAGCUUCGCUCAUCACAUGUUCGAUAAAAUGCCUUUGAGGCAUUUGCAACAAUUGUAACCAGGAAAAGCCCUCUUAAUGCGAUUCCCUGAAAUGUAUAAAGAUCAAGAUUGUUGAUUGUGGAAUGUUGAAUAACACCUUCUUUCACUUUUGAGAUUAGGUCAACUAAAUUAGAAUUCUGCUAUUAUGGGUAAAAGAGACCUACUCUCAUGAAUAAUAUGAAAUGGCAAAACAUUAGUAUCCUCAAAACACUACAUUUGUCCAUACAGCUAGCUCAGAAGCUGAUCAAAACCUACGAAGACAUAAUCUAGACUGUUAAGGACAACCAAUAAAUGUAUCACAUUUACCAUAAUAUCCAUGUAUUUUCAAUUUAAUGAUACUUAUGUCUUUUGUUUGUUGUAGUAACCAACCAUUUUGGAAAUCAUUUGUACUACCCUCAAAUGUAAUGUAAAAACCUAUGAGUUUGAAUCAAAUCUUUCAGAAGGUUAUCAGCCCAUGCGGAGCAUGGGUCUCCCACUAGUUA